rnacentral:rRNA from 1 species
GAUCAUGGCUCAGGAUGAACGCUAGCUACAGGCUUAACACAUGCAAGUCGAGGGGCAGCAUUUUAGUUUGCUUGCAAACUAAAGAUGGCGACCGGCGCACGGGUGAGUAACACGUAUCCAACCUGCCGAUAACUCGGGGAUAGCCUUUCGAAAGAAAGAUUAAUAUCCGAUGGUAUAUUAAAACCGCAUGGUUUUACUAUUAAAGAAUUUCGGUUAUCGAUGGGGAUGCGUUCCAUUAGUUUGUUGGCGGGUACGG